GUCAUAGUUAGCAUUUACAAUUGCUGCUAGGAAUUCACAUUAAGUAAGACAGAGAAAUGACCACCGGAGUGGAAUGGGAGUGGAAUUACUAUAACCUGUAAUGGGAGAAAGAAGAAGUAGAGACUUUGAGAGAAGAUUCUAUUAUAAAGUUGUGUUUUGAACAAGGAGCAAAGAACUAAGCUGAAGGAAUCUCCGAGGCCAUGGGAAAAAUAUUUUCAAAGGAGGGCAAUAUUAAUGAGUACAUGGUUCAGGAAACUGGAGCUAAAUCCAGCAGGAAUGAGUCUGGAUCCCUUCGGCACAAGGACCCGCCCCUCCCUUUUCAGGUCAAUCACUACCUGCUGAGAACAGCUCUCUCACUGCUUCCCGUUUUUCCUGCCAUGUUGUGCAUAUAUCCCAGAGUACCACUUUCUGCAUCCAACACAUACACUUUUAAGCACCUGCCAGGCUCUGCACUAGCUUCCAGGGAUGUAAAGACGGAUGGCAUAUGCUUUCCUGCCCAGCGGGAGCCUUGCAUUCAUGAACAGAACGGUGCAAGACCAAUAGCAAGCUCCAUGCUAGGCAACAGCACAUGGGCGUGCAGAAGUGGAGCGAGAAGUUAACUCAGAAGGGAAAGGAAUGGGAUGAAUGGAGCCUGAGGGCGUCAUACAUUCUGGUGCAGUUUCUCAACUUUAGCCUCACGGACAUGUUGAGCCAGAUGAUUCUUUGCUGCAGAGGAAAGAGACGUUCACUCAAGACAUUCAAGACACUCUCGGUCCCUGUUGGCUAAGUAACAGUGGCAUCCCCUCCUCAGUUGCACCAAUCAUUAACAUAUCUAGACAUUGUCAGUUUUACUGCCGGGGACAAAAUCAGCCCUAGUUGAGCACCACUGCGCUAAGCACGGUUAAAAGAAUUAGAAGCAGGUUGGUAUGGAGAGGAGCCAAGUGGUGACUGACGUUGGAGAGGGAGAAGAAAACAAAAGCCAGAUCUUCAAAGGCCUUCCAUGCCUUUCAAUUCCAGGAAAGUUAUUUGACCUAACAAGAGUGUUUCAUCUUUUGAGAAACGGAACUUGUAAUACUUUUCCCAAGUGACUGUGGUGAAGGCUAAACGCAAUCGCAUUUGUAAAGAGCAGCACUGUGCUGUCACUGUCAGAAAGGGAUUUGUUCUCUCUCUCCUGCUCAGUCCAGAAUGGGAGCUAAAGUGAUAAAUGGAAGAACAGUCAGAGGCUGGAGUGAGAGGUGGGCAGGGCCUCUAAGACAGGAACAGAUUAAGCCACAUCCAAAAGAGAACACUUGGUAGCUGGAUGAGCUCCCACAAGGCCAGCAGAAGCUUUAAUGCUCCAUCUCCCUGCCUCUGCCCAAACCCACCAUGAGCUUAUCUUUCCAGAACACCUGGCUGACAUAUGUUAGUCAGGCACACUGCUUUGUCCAUUAUUUAUCUCAACCCAGCAAACAACUACAGUGUUCUCUACGUAGACAGCUCAGGUCAUGGAAAAGAGGGAAUAGGCAUGGUGAUGAAUAGAACACGUAGGCUGCAGAACUUCCCAUUCCAAGAGAGGGAAAGAGCAUAUCCUGUUCCUCCUGUCAGGAGAACCUCCCUCUCUCUCCAGGUCCACAAGUUCAGGUCUCAGCUCAGGCCUCAUCUUCUCUCUGAAGCUGUCCUCACAGCUCCUGCAUCCUGAAUGAAGCUCCGGCUCUUUUCUAUGCAAUGCACAGCAUGUACGUAUGAUCUGUACCAUCGCCUUUGGUGUGUUAUCUUGAAAUGGAUUUUUUAGUUCCUUUAUCCACUAAUCAAUGACUUUAAGUGACUUGAAGGAUGCAUUCUACACUUCUCAAGUAUUGAUUGCAUUAAUCAGCGAAGACCCUAAACCCCAGUUACAUUUCCCCAGUUAUCCAUUGAAUGUAAACAAACAGAGAAUUAUGUUUUAAAUAAAGCAUUCUCACCCUCCCCAUCUUCCAGUGCUCGCAUAUGAGUUACCUUCUAGCUAACACAUACAUGCUUCCAGUUCAUUGUCCAGAGUUUAACCACCUGCCCUAUUUCCACAGGGCUGCCGUACAUACACGUUGUAAAACGACCCGCAGACUCAUCAUAGG
ensembl:lincRNA